GCGAGUCAGCAGCUGCGGGGAGGCGGCGGCUGAGUGUGAGGCUCGGCGGAAGUCCUCAAAAAAUAUGUGUUUUCUCGAGUUUUUCCCCGGUGUGUGUCGUUGUGUCGCCCCCAGGAGGCUACUCAGAGAUCCAGGAAGAGGGAGGACUAAGGAAAACGCCGCUGGAUCGCCCGUAAAGCUGAGUGCAGGAACGACACGCGUGGCGGCGCCUCACCUGCCCUCAUUAGGAGGUCACCUGGCGAGAGUCAAUGUGACGUCCCAUACCUCCUGCUUGGUCAUGUCUUCAUUGCACGCGUUCCUCGGCGGGCUCUCCUGCCUCCGCCUGGCCCGCUGCUCUUCCUCCUCGCUGCGGACGAAGGAGUCACUAAUGGUAGGAGUAGGUGCCGUCUUUCUUAGGUUUCAGUCUCCAGAAAUUGCAGUGGAAUAGGUACGUGGCUUUGGAAAGUUGGAAAGAUUGAAAUAAAGAUGAGUAAGAUCUACUUUGGAAAUUUGUCUUAAACCUUGUACUUUUAUUAUUGAAUUACGGAAUUGCUAGCGGAGUUAUCAAUACAAGAAAAAUACUAAUUACUCGUAGAUUAGACUUAAAUAAAAUGUGUAGUUUAUCUAUGAACACCUCAAACACAAACUCUUCGUGAUAUUUUAAACUUUAAUAGAAAAAAAAAAAAAAAACUGGCGAUGAAAAU